rnacentral:lncRNA from 1 species
GUUUAUUUGUUUGCUUGAAUUAAGCUCAAGAGCAAAGGGAGCCAAAUUCGGAUAGGGGGAAAGCAAAAGUAGUUGAUUAAUCAACCCGUAAUUGGUCAAUGACAUUCAAGGUAAGUUCUUAAGUGUUUAACCUUGAUUCUUUUUAUAUGCCUAAGAGUUAAACUAAUAUGGCAAAAAGAAUGUUAAUUUUAUUUAGUUAAUGUGCCGAAUAUGUAAUAAUUUAAGGCUAUAAGUCGAUUAUGG